AUUGUGGAUCUAAUUCAAUUAAUAUCAAAGUAAAGAUAUGCGUAGGUCGUUAAAUCUGAAUCAAUGACUCGAGAAAGUUUAAAAAAAAAAUAGCAGUACAGUGGUAUACGUAGUAGUUGAGCAGUCGCGAUCGGAGGAUAAACGGAUACGAACUGGUAUAAUACAAUAAAAUCACUCAAACACGCUAUUACUAAAACGGACGCUGCGCGGACGUUUACAUAAAACAAAAAAAAAAUAAGAAGAAAAUCC